UUAUUUAAUUUGUUUCAUUAGAAAUGUCUCCUAAGAUUGUAUGAUGCAAUUGUUGCUGAUAUUGAUCAGUUAAGGAACAAGGUUUCACGAGCUUCCAGUGCUAAACUGGAUCCUGGACAUACCCCACAAUUUAUUGAACUUGCAGCUGAUGUUUUAAAUCAGGUGUUCUGGGCACAAACAGCAUACCACUCUGUGAACUCUACACAAGAUGUUACAGCUGAACCAGGAGCCAAACGUCAGAAAAUUGAACUUGGCUGGCAUGUGGCAAGAGACACACUCGAAAGCAAUUCUGAAAACUUGGGUUUACUGUCAUGGUUGCAGGUCCUAGCUGCAUUAUUCGUGAAACAUCCAUCAAGUCUCCCUGCAACUGAAUUUCAUCCUUUCUUUUCAAUAUUACAUCAGCUGCAAACCAAACACAAAAGGUAUGAGUUGCUUUGUGGUAGAUUUAAGAGUUUCUUUCAGAAUCUUUUGAAAUGGGGUUCUUAUAUUUAGCAAGAUGCCAACACCACAUUGCAGGUCUAGUGUUGAUUACACAAAUGUUACAGACCUAAGGGUCACUCAUACCAUUUUCAAGUAAAUGGCUUUACUGUAACAUUGAUAAAUAUCCAUACAUAUUUAAUAUACACAGUGAUA